UCGCGCAGGGAAAUGAGAUUUUCUUAAUAUUCCGUUCUGCAAACAGCAAUUUGGGGACAUGGAUGUCCCCAAAAGCCGGCGAUGAGCCAGGACGGCGAAUAGCCGGCGGUUGCGUCCGAUAACGUCUGUUUUCCCGGAAUAUUUAGAAAAUCCAUUUCCCGAAGCCG
rfam:Lachnospiraceae bacterium 28-4 genomic scaffold acPFn-supercont1.1, whole genome shotgun sequence.